ACAAGCGCUCGCUGUGGUUCUGGCAGCGAAGUGCGAGACUGGGCUCGCCAGGCGGAAGUGGUUGGAGACUGCGUGUUUUCCUAGAAAGUCCUCGACCUUCGUCGGGGAGAGGAGGGGAGUGAUAAAUUGGAAGGCGGACAAGCGACAAGUGCGGUACUGGAAAGACCCAAACAUACUUGGUUGUGACCUCAGGUCACAUCUCCCAAGAAGCAGUAAUGUUCCAGCAAUAAGAAAAGGACAGUUUUUUGUCUUUUGCAUGGUGAGCCUUAUAUGAAUUACAUCAAUUUUGUCACCAAUAUCCAUCAUCAGAACAUUUUGCCUACUCACUGUGAAGACAAUAAGGAUGAAGACCUUUAUGACAAUCCACUUCCACUUAAUGAAUAAUGAGGAAACUGGGGCACAGAGAAAUUAAGUGACUUGUCCAGGAGGACAGGGCCAAUAACCGGUGGAACCAUAAGAAAAAAAUCCAGUAACAGCUUUGAAAAAGGAAGAUAACAAUGACCUGUGUGUACAGCGUCCAAGGGAACCAUUAGCAGUGGAGCU
rnacentral:lncRNA from 1 species